rnacentral:rRNA from 1 species
GACGAACCGUGCGAACGUUGUUCGGAAUCACUGGGUUUAAAGGGCGCGUAGGCGGGCUGUCAAGUCGGUGGUGAAAUCUUUCGGCUCAACCGGAAAAUCGCCUUCGAUACUGGCGGCCUUGAGGGAGGUAGGGGCAUGCGGAACUUCCGGUGGAGCGGUGAAAUGCGUAGAUAUCGGAAGGAACACCGAUGGCGAAAGCAGCGUGCUGGACCUUUUUCUGACGCUGAGGCGCGAAAGCCAGGGGAGCAAACGGG